UACGUAGGGUGCAAGCGUUAAUCGGAAUUACUGGGCGUAAAGCGUGCGCAGGCGGUUGUGCAAGACAGAUGUGAAAUCCCCGGGCUCAACCUGGGAACUGCAUUUGUGACUGCACGGCUGGAGUGCGGCAGAGGGGGAUGGAAUUCCGCGUGUAGCAGUGAAAUGCGUAGAUAUGCGGAGGAACACCGAUGGCGAAGGCAAUCCCCUGGGCCUGCACUGACGCUCAUGCACGAAAGGCGUGGGGAGCAAACAGG
rnacentral:rRNA from 1 species